ensembl:lncRNA
CUGUCAGCUGCAGAAACACACAGCACGUGUCCUAGGCUCGCAACACAAGCCUGUGACCAUCUGCACCCAGCUCACAGCAAAGCAGGAACCGUGAGGAGAGAUCUCCAAAAGAUGUGCGGGCAGGUGGGAUGGGCCGUGCCGUGUCCCCAUGUCCAUGUCCUCCUGCUGCUGGUGUUUGGUGAGUUGGGGCUGCUUUGGGUAGCAGGGAACUCUGCUUGGAGGAAGAAGCCCCGCACAAAGAGGCUUGAGAUGGUGCCGAGGGUGGAGGUGGAGUACAUGUGGGAUAGAGUCUAGCACCAAAAGCAUGAUUUUUGAAGUAGAGGAGACUGCAUCUGGAAAAGAAAACCUAUCCCAAAUGGAUUUAGGCUUGCUCAAAUGGAGAUAGUGGCGAUACGGGAAGGGGAUACACUUGUGGAGAGGUGACUGCUGAAGACUGGAGAUAUGGACAGAAACAUGUGGGUGUGCAGGACACUGUCCCUCUAACCAAACCCCUCUCUGCUCCACGGUGCAGGUACUGCUGUGAGCACCCAGGCAUCUGCAGUUCCACAGCUGAUGGUGAGUGUGAGAAUGGGUCCAGAAAAUGAAGACAUGGUGGGGGUGGAGAUGGGGAGAGAGAAAGGCUUUAUUGCCUCUGAAUUCCCAAUAUCCACCCCAGGAGGGCAGAUUCUCCAUGACUUGGAAUGCAGUGUGUUUUGCAGCUAAUGAUGCUGGUGGAAUCCCUGUGCCAUCUCUCCAGGUACUCUCCAGGCUCCAGCCCUGCUCCUUAACGCUUCCAGAGCUCAGGAAGGGGAAGUGUCCUGGCUCAAUGUGUCCUUCAGAAGCUGGUUCCUGCUGCCCGAAUUGUCUUCUGCAAGGAUGGGAUGGAGGUUUACAGCAUGAAAGCCCAACAGCAUACCGUCAUCUACUCCAUGCUGCUGAACAUCUCUGCAAGAAGCAGUGGGACAUACACGUGUGCGUACCAGCAGAGGAACAAGAGCAAUUGGCUAAGGAGAUCUCCCCUCAGCACUCCCUUGGAUCUACAUGUCACAGGUCAUGUGUCCAAUUCCACGGCAGGAACCGUAACUGCAGACACCAACACUCCUCUGAACCUCACAGUCAUUCAUGUGGUAUCAGUUACUGUCAACCUCCUGCUGUCUGCAGCCACCUUCUGGACCAUUAGGAAAGGUGCCUGCCGGGAGAGAUGCCGAAGGUGAGAAGUAAGGCUGGGAGGGGACGAUUGAGAGCAUUUGGGAACUUGGGGAAGUCCUUUUGCAGGGCAGCAUUAUCUGUGAGUUCCCCCAUAACAGGAAGGGACUGCCAUGGUGUUGGAGAAGGAAGGAUUUCCUCAUGGUAACAUUACUGAUCUCACGUGGAUGCCUGGAGGAUGAGGGAUUGCCGUGGGGUUGGAGUGAAUGCAGUGCCUGAUGCAAGGAGGCUUCAUCCAAAUGAAUAACAGUCCUGGCCCCCUGCAGCAAACACCCACCCCAAAUCCAUUUUCCCUUAAUCCACAGGCAGCAGCACGUUCCCAGCCAGCAGGUGCAAGCCACCGACUAUGGAGAAAUCCAGUGUGAGUGCUGGGCACCCCUUUUCCAUGGGGACCCCCUUCCCUUGGGCUCCCAUUUGCCAUCCCACCUGUCCCUUUCCCACUUGGACAUGCAAAAACCAUUUCUCAAGAGUCAGUUUCUCCAGGGUGCUUUCAUCACAGUGCUCAUAGUGACAAAUCCCAUUUGCACAGCAG